rnacentral:rRNA from 1 species
CAGUAGCAAGCUUAACCGAAUAAGGAAGGCGUAGCGAAAGCGAGUCCGAAUAGGGCGCUAGUUGCUGGGUGUAGACCCGAAACCAGUUGAUCUAUCCAUGGCCAGGUUGAAGGUGCGGUAACACGUACUGGAGGACCGAACCCACUAACGUUGAAAAGUUAGGGGAUGAGCUGUGGAUAGGGGUGAAAGGCUAAACAAAACUGGAAAUAGCUGGUUCUCUCCGAAAACUAUUUAGGUAGUGCCUCGUGUAUCACCGUAGGGGGUAGAGCACUGUCAUGGUAGUGGGGUCCAUUGCGGAUUACUGCGCCAUAGCAAACUCCGAAUACCUACGAGUGCGAGCACGGGAGACAGACAUCGGGUGCUAACGUCCGGUGUCAAGAGGGAAACAACCCAGACCGCCAGCUAAGGUCCCUAAUAUAUGCUAAGUGGGAAACGAAGUGGGAAGGCUAAAACAGUCAGGAGGUUGGCUUAGAAGCAGCCAUCCUUUAAAGAAAGCGUAAUAGCUCACUGAUCGAGUCGUCCUGCGCGGAAGAUGUAACGGGG